rnacentral:rRNA from 1 species
AACGAACGCUGGCGGCAGGCCUAACACAUGCAAGUCGAGCGGACAUACCCUGAUGUUAGCGGCGGACGGGUGAGUAACGCGUGGGAACGUGCCCUUUGCUUCGGACUAGCCUCGGGAAACUGGGAGAAAUACCGGAUGUACCAUCUGGGGGAAAGAUAGAUCGGGAAAGGAUCGGCUCGCGUUGGAUUAGGUAGUUGGUGGGGUAAUGGCCUAACAAGCCGACGAUCCAUAACUGGUAUUGGACGAUGAUACGCCACACUGGGACUGAGACGCGGCCCAGACUCCUACGCAGGGCAGCAGUGUAGAGUCUUAGACAAUGGCGGAAACCGUAAUCACGCCAUGCCGCGGAAGAGAGGCAUUCCUUAGUGUUGUAAUGCUCUUUCACCGGAGAAGAUAAUGACGGUACCCGGUAAAGAAGCCCCGGCUAACUCCGUG